UACGGAGGGUGCAAGCGUUAAUCGGAAUCACUGGGCGUAAAGCGCGCGUAGGUGGCUAUUUAAGUCAGAUGUGAAAGCCCCGGGCUCAACCUGGGAAUUGCAUUUAGAACUGGCAAGCUAGAGUAGGGUAGAGGGGUGUGGAAUUCCAGGUGUAGCGGUGAAAUGCGUAGAUAUCUGGAGGAACAUCAGUGGCGAAGGCGGCACCCUGGACUCAUACUGACACUGAGGUGCGAAAGCGUGGGGAGCAAACAGG
rnacentral:rRNA from 1 species